rnacentral:lncRNA from 1 species
GGGUGAUAAAAUUCCAGUGGGUACUUACAUUUCCAAGUGGGAUAGCAAUGUGAGCACAUAUUGUUUAUGUUGUAUAGUUUCUGCUCCUGAAACCAUACAACAUCUCUUCUUAACAGGUGAUAUAGCGAGAAGCGUAUGGACCUAUUUUACAAAUGUUGUUGGACUUCAUGGUCCUUGGAUCCAAAUAAAGCAAUAAAUACAUAAC